UGGGGAAUAUUGCACAAUGGAGGGAACUCUGAUGCAGCGACGCCGCGUGAACGAAGAAGGCUUUCGAGUCGUAAAGUUCUUUUAUAUGGGAAGAUAAUGACGGUACCAUAAGAAAAAGCCCCGGCUAACUACGUGCCAGCAGCCGCGGUAAUACGUAGGGGGCUAGCGUUGUCCGGAAUAACUGGGCGUAAAGGGUUCGCAGGCGGAAAUGCAAGUCAGGUGUAAAAGGCAGUAGCUUAACUACUGUAAGCAUUUGAAACUGCAUAUCUUGAGAAGAGUAGAGGUAAGUGGAAUUUUUAGUGUAGCGGUGAAAUGCGUAGAUAUUAAAAAGAAUACCGGUGGCGAAGGCGACUUACUGGGCUCAUUCUGACGCUGAGGAACGAAAGCGUGGGUAGCAAACAGG
rnacentral:rRNA from 1 species